GAGCCGAUAGCUCAGUCGGUAGAGCAUCUGCCUUUUAAGCAGAGGGUCCCGGGUUCGAGCCCCGGUCGGCUCA
rnacentral:tRNA from 1 species